AUGGUCAUCUUGCAUUUCGAGUUAUUCCUUACAUUUUAUAUCCUAUGUCGGAAUUUUAUCAUCCUGACUAAAUCAUUGUCUUGUUUACCUAGGAUGGUCAACACGCGCACUAACCCUGCUCCUCAAGAGCAGGCCGAAGGCAGUGAAGUCAGGGAUGCAAAUCUGCCUCAUCCUCCUUCCCUAGCCGAGGUUAUGAUGGAAGCUGAGAGAAACAAGCGGGAGACCAACCGUUUGUUGGAGCGUAUUGAACAGAACACAGCACACCAUCAGAGGACUAACGUGGUGUCACUCAGUGAUUUUAUCAAAUUACAUCCACCCACGUUCCACCACUCCGUCGAGCCUCUCGACGCUGAUGACUGGCUUCGCAGUAUCUCUCACAAACUGCGUUCCGCGCUGGUAGCGGAGGCUGACAAGGUCACCUUUGCUACUUAUCAUCUUGAAGGCCCCGCCAGUCUAUGGUGGGAGAAUUAUGGAGCUAUGCGCCCAGCGGGCCAUGUCACUACUUGGGCUGAAUUCAGUGAGGCUUUCCGUGAACAUCACAUUCCGGAGGGUCUCAUGGACCGUAAACGUGAGGAAUUUUGCAAUUUCACCCAAGGCCGACUUUCUGUGGAUGCUUACAGCAGGGAGUUUGGUAAUCUCGCACGAUAUGCAACUGAGGAAGUGUCUACUGAUGCCAAGAAGCAAGCAAGGUUCCGUAAGGGCCUUAGUCCUAAGCUUCGCCGUGACCUCCGUCUGCAUGAGUGCACAUCUUUUCAGAAACUUGUCAACAAAGCCAUCAGUGCUGAAACUGGUCAGACUGACUAUGACGCAACACGCAAGCAUGGCCGUGACAUGGGUUCCUCAUCCGGUGCUGGUCCUCAGAAGCGCCGCGUGUGGGUACCCAACACCGCCCUGCCACCCAGGUUCACACCGAGGCCAUCUUUCCAGGCGCCUCGCCCUGUUCAACAGUCUGCACCGGCCAAGCCCUAUGGGGGUCCAACCAACAAUGCUCCUCCACGUACCAGUUCCGUGACUUGUUUCAAGUGUGGGGAAUCUGGCCACUAUAUGCGUGAGUGUCCCCAGACCAACCCCAACCAGUCUGCUAAAGCUGUUGGCCAUGGCAAGCCGACAGGAAAAGUAUUCCACGCCAAGCCGGUCACCGCUUCACGUGGCCAUGUCAACUGUAUCUCUGCCGAAGAAGCUCAAGAAGAUCCCAACGUCGUUCUCGGUACGCUUCUUGUUAAUUGCCACCCGGCAUCUAUUCUUUUCGAUACAGGAGCCUCUCAUUCAUUUAUAUCCGAGAACUAUGCUCGUUUGCAUAACACCGCAUUCUGUGACAUGCCAUCCACUAUGGAAAUUUCUACUCCCGGGUCUAGAUGGCAGACCUCUAGGGUAAGUUAUGGAAAUGAAAUCCAAGUCGACAGACUUGUUUUUCUUGCAUCUUUGAUAGCUCUCAAAUCUUCAGAUAUUAAUAUCAUUUUGGGUAUGGACUGGAUGUCGGCUCAUCAUGCCCAAAUUGAUUGCUUCUCUAGGACUGUUCAACUCACUCACCCUUCGGGCAAGAUAGUCAAUGUCUUGACCCGAAUAGCCAAGCGACAAUUAUAUUCUCUUAACGCUAGCCCUUUGCCAGACCUUGAGGACAUUCCGGUAGUUCGUGACUUCCCGGAUGUCUUCCCAGAGGAAUUGCCAGGUGUUCCACCUGACAGGGAUGUUGAGUUCGUAAUAGACCUCAUCCCAGGAACCGUUCCGAUUGCUAGAAGACCUUAUAAGAUGGCACCACUAGAACUAGUCGAGCUUAAGAAACAACUCGAUGAGUCCUUGAAAAAGGGUUUCAUCCGCCCUAGUUCAUCUCCGUGGGCUUGCCCCGUCCUAUUCGUCAAGAAGAAGGAUGGUACGGACCGGAUGGUUGUAGAUUACCGACCUGUCAAUUUGGUCACAAUCAAGAACAAAUAUCCGCUCCCCAGGAUCAACGACCUUUAUGAUCAGCUCGCUGAAUCCUCAGUCUUCUCCAAGAUGGAUUUGAGGUUGGGCUACCAUCAAAUCAAAAUCAGAAACGGGGACAUUCCUAAAACGGCCUUUGUUACUCGUUAUGGCCAAUACGAGUACACCGUCAUGUCCUUCGGUUUAACCAACGCUCCAGCCACCUUUUCUCGGUUAAUGAACUCAAUCUUCAUGGAGUAUUUGGAUAAAUUCGUCGUUGUUUACCUCGAUGAUAUACUCAUCUACUCCAAGAACGAGGAAGAACAUGCCGAACAUCUAAGGCUAGUGUUGCAGAAACUUCGAGAGCAUCGCCUUUAUGCCAAAUUUUCUAAAUGUGAAUUCUGGUUGUCAGAAGUGACCUAUUUGGGUCAUGUAAUAUCUGGUAAAGGUAUUGCUGUUAACCCUGAGCGAGUUCAAGCCGUCCUUAAUUGGACUCCACCUGAAUCGGUCAAGCAAGUUCGGAGUUUUCUGGGCUUAGCGAGCUAUUGUCGUCGCUUUGUCGAGAACUUCUCCAAGGUUGCUAAACCUCUAACCGAACUCCUCAAGAAAGAUAAGAAGUUCGAAUGGACUCUACAAUGUGAGCACAGCUUUCAGGAACUGAAAAGACGCCUGACCUCUGCUCCCGUACUGGUACCGCCAGACUUCUCCAAGGACUUUGUUAUCUACUGCGACGCCUCGCGACAAGGACUAGGUUGCAUUCUCAUGCAAGAUCGACACGUAAUUGCCUACGCUUCACGGCAAUUGCACCCACAUGAGGAGAAUUAUCCUACUCAUGAUCUAGAGCUAGCAGCCGUAGUCUAUGCACUUAAGACCUGGCGACAUUACCUCCUCGGUAACCGUUGCGAAAUAUUCACUGAUCACCAAAGUCUGAAGUACAUUUUCACCCAACCGGAUCUGAAUCUCAGGCAAAGACGUUGGGUUGAGUUGAUCACAGACUUCGACUUAGGAAUAACCUACACCCCAGGGAAAGCCAACGUCAUGGCUGAUGCGCUAAGUCAUAAAUCUUAUUGUAACAACCCGAUGUUACAACAAAGUCAACCGCUUCUCCAUGAGGAAUUUCGGAAGCUUAACCUUCACAUUGUUCCUCAAGGUUUUCUUUCCACCUUGGUGGCAAAACCUACCCUUACGGAUCAGAUUAUCAAAGCACAGAAGGUAGAUCCGGGAAUUUCCCGCAUCAAGAGAAACAUCCAGAAAGGAAUUGCGAAUUGCUUCUCCACUAAUGAUCAAGGGGUCGUAUACUUCGGGAAUCGACUAGUGGUUCCCAAAGUGCGAAACCUGAGACGAUUGAUCCUUAAGGAAGCUCAUGAAUCUCCUCUCUCCAUUCAUCCCGGUAGUACUAAGAUGUAUCAGGACCUACGCCAGAGGUUCUGGUGGACUAGGAUGAAGAGAGAAAUUGCUCAGUAUAUUGCUAAUUGCGACAUCUGUCGUCGUGUAAAAGCAGAGCAUCAACGGCCUGCUGGCACCCUUCAACCCUUAGCUAUUCCUGAAUGGAAAUGGGAUAAAAUUGGUAUGGAUUUCAUUACCGGUUUUCCCAGGACCAAGAGAGGGAAUAAUGCUAUUUUCGUCGUUGUCGAUCGUCUUUCCAAAGUAGCCCAUUUCUUACCUGUUCGUGAGAGUAUAACCGCUAGUCAGCUGGCAGACUUAUACAUCUCCCGAAUAGUGUCCCUCCAUGGUGUUCCUUUGGAAAUUAACUCGGAUCGAGGAAGUCUUUUCACCUCUCGAUUUUGGGAAAGUUUCCAAAAUGCUAUGGGAACCCGUCUCUCCUUUAGCACCGCCUUCCACCCUCAGUCGAGUGGUCAAGUGGAACGCGUCAACCAGAUUCUAGAAGACAUGCUUCGAGCCUCUGUUAUCUCAUUCGGAAUGGACUGGGAGAAGUGCCUUCCAUUUGCCGAAUUCGCUUACAACAACAGCUAUCAAUCUAGCUUUGGUAAAGCCCCUUUUGAAGUUCUCUAUGGACGAUGGUGUCGAACACCCCUUAACUGGUCAGAAACCGGGGAAAGACAAUUCUUUGGCCCGGAUAUGAUUCAGGAAGCAGAAGAACAAGUUCGUAUCGUUCGUGAAAAGUUGAAAACAGCCCAAUCUCAUCAAAAGAGUCAAUAUGACCGAAAACAUAAGGCUAUGACUUUCGAGGUUGACGAGAAGGCUUAUCUUCGGGUCACCCCUCUGAAGGGAACCCAUCGUUUCGGUAUCAAAGGCAAAUUGGCUCCUCGUUACAUUGGACCUUUUCGCAUUCUCGCCAAACGAGGAGAAGUUGCCUACCAGUUGGAACUACCUCCGCACCUCUCCAGAGUCCACGAUGUCUUCCACGUUUCUCAACUCAGGCGUUGCUUCUCGGAUCCUAUCCGUGGAGUGGACCACGAAACACUUGAUCUCCAAGAUAAUCUUACAUAUCGAGAGUACCCCAUUCGUAUCCUCGAUCAGGCCGAACGUACCACCCGACGUCAUAAUAUCAAGUUUCUCAAAGUCCAAUGGUCGCACCAUUCUGAGGAUGAAGCAACUUGGAAAAGGGAGGAUCGUCUUCGACUCGAGUAUCCCGCCUUCUUCCCGGAGGAACCCAAAUCUCGGGACGAGAUUCUUUUGAGUGGGGGUGAGUUGUCACACCCUAGCUAG
rnacentral:rRNA from 1 species